rnacentral:tRNA from 5 species
GCGCCCGUAGCUCAGCUGGAUAGAGUACUGCCCUCCGAAGGCAGGGGUCACAGGUUCAAAUCCUGUCGGGCGCGCCA